rnacentral:lncRNA from 1 species
GUAAUCCUGAAUGCUUUCAUGCAUCUCAUGGCUUUCAUUAUCAUUUCUAUUUUGAUAAGUCCCAAAAUGAUAUCUUCUGUUUAUAUUCAACUUUAGAAUGCCAGACCUGUCAUCUCUAGUUGCCUAUCUCAGAGGCACCUUAAAUUCAACCUGUUCAAAAAUCAUCUUGUGCCUUAACCCAGAUUCACUGCUUCUCCAAUGUUCCCUGUUCCAGUUUAUAGCAACACCAUCCUCAGUUUCUCAUUCCAAAAGCCCAGGAGUAAUGUGCUGAGGAUAACAGUGAGCAGGAGUUGGCUCUGUGAAGGACCUGAAAUGUGAGGAGGACAGACUGAGAGAAGAUCACCUGCAAACUCUCUGAAGCAGACGGUGUAGUCUGUGUAGCACUAGAAUGCAGAUGUCCACUUCACAUGAUGGUGUGAGUUUGCACAGGGCCAUUUCCUUGGUGACCUGUGUGUCCUAAAUCCAAGGGGACUCUCCCAGAACAUUCUGUUGUGAUAAAGAUUCUUGGGAUUUUCUGAUUCCUGAGAUGGGAAGAACUUAGUCAUGUAAUGGCAAGUUGAGGGCUCA